rnacentral:rRNA from 1 species
UACGUAGGGGGCAAGCGUUGUCCGGAAUCAUUGGGCGUAAAGAGCGUGUAGGCGGCUCGAUAAGUCUGCUGUGAAAGUCCAGGGCUCAACCCUGGAAGGCCGGUGGAAACUGUCGGGCUAGAGUCCGGAAGAGGCGAGUGGAAUUCCCGGUGUAGCGGUGAAAUGCGUAGAUAUCUGGAGGAACACCGAUGGCGAAGGCAGCCCCCUGGGUCAAGACUGACGCUCAUGCACGAAAGCGUGGGGAGCAAACAGG